GCAUAUCAAUAAGCGGAGGAAAAGAAACUAACAAGGAUUCCCCUAGUAGCGGCGAGCGAAGCGGGAAAAGCUCAAAUUUGUAAUCUGGCGUCUACGACGUCCGAGUUGUAAUCUCGAGAAGUGUUUUCCGUGAUAGACCGCAUACAAGUCUCUUGGAACAGAGCGUCAUAGUGGUGAGAACCCAGUACACGAUGCGGAUGCCUAUUACUUUGUGAUACACUUUCGAAGAGUCGAGUUGUUUGGGAAUGCAGCUCAAAUUGGGUGGUAAAUUCCAUCUAAAGCUAAAUAUUGGCGAGAGACCGAUAGCGAACAAGUACCGUGAGGGAAAGAUGAAAAGCACUUUGGAAAGAGAGUUAACAGUACGUGAAAUUGUUGGAAGGGAAACACAUGCAGCCAGACUUGCUAUUCGGGGCAACUCGAUUGGCAGGCCCGCAUCAGUUUUUCGGGGCGGAAAAGCAUAGAGAGAAGGUAGCAAUUUCGGUUGUGUUAUAGCUCUUUAUUGGAUUCGCCCUGGGGGACUGAGGAACGCAGCGUGCUUUCAGCAUAAGCUUCGGCUUAUCCACGCUUAGGAUGCGGGUGUAAUGGCUGUAUAUGACCCGUCUUGAAACACGGACC
rnacentral:rRNA from 1 species